AGUCUACAAAAUCCCACAGCUCCUAAGAAUUCUCUCACCUGCCUUCUGCCCUUAAGCUCCGGUAGAUUGCAAAUAACCUGCUUUCUUUCUGUUCCCGAGCUGCCUUCGGACCCGUCGGAUCGUAAAUCCCACGUAAGGUACCUGCCGUCGGAAGAUUUGAACUUUCUACUUGGACACCUAAUACCCACAGUCCUCCAGCUCCGGUAGAUUGCAAAUAACCUGCUUUCUUUCUGUUCCCGAGCUGCGUUCGGACCCGUCGGAUCGUAAAUCCCACGUAAGGUCGGAAGAUUUGAACUUUCUACUUGGACACCUAACACCCACAGUCCUCCAGCUCCGGUAGAUUGCAAAUAACCUGCUUUCUUUCUGUUCCCGAGCUGCGUUCGGACCCAUGUCUUAUUGUAAAUCCCACGCAAGCUGCGUUCGGACCCGUCUGAUCGUAAAUCCCAUGUAAGGUACCUGCCGUCGGAAGAUUUGAACGUUCUACUUGGACACCUAAAACCCACAGUCCUCCAGGGUAGGAGUUCAUUCGAAUAAAGUUCACUUAAGACACACUUAUCUACAAACAGUCUUCAGAGAGGUGAUCGGAUGGAAGAUAUUAACAUGAUUCUGGAGUCUGCUAGGAGCUGCUCUGACUGGUGGCUACUGAGAUACCAGUGACGGGAAGGUGCUACAUCGUUAACAACAGUGCCUUUCAAAAAUGAUGAACUAUAAUCUACUGGGCUAACAGUGAACCCCUGAAAAAUACAUGUGACUGCAGGCUGGAGACUGUGGAUAAGGCUGCCAUGAGGUCCUGGGAAAUGUCUGUUAGAGUGCCAGGAGCAGCUGUGUUUCAGUGAACACUUCAGAAUACCAAUGGGGAAAAAAACACAAGGACAAACCCUACUGUGAAGCAGUGGAGACUGGAGUCCUGCAUUUGCUGAACUUUCUUUUUAUGUGUUGGAUUCUGAUUUUAUAUUCAUUUCCAUUCAUGUGGACUCUGAAGAGUUAAACUCACCAAGGACACUUGAAGAAGUCACGUCCAGGGAUCACUGUCAUCACAAAUGGAGAAAAGGCCAAUGUCUUUCCAUGCUGCCUCACCAGAAAAGGACUGAGUUGGUACAGACCUUCACUCCAGCUUACUGUCCAUGACCUCGUCACACUCCAGGCCCAGGCUUGAGCUACAUGUUCUAGAAAGCCCCUAACUUCUCUAGGUCUCAAGUCUAAUCUCUGCAUCUGUGCCAGGUUCCCUGAGACUACUCUAAAGCUUGAUGAUUCACUAGGAUUCACAGGACUCAGAAAAGCUUACUUUUCUGAAUUAGAUGUACUGUUCUGAUAUAUUACAGCAAAAGGAUAUGAGUUCAAAUCAGAAUAAAAUAAAAGGUACAUGGGGCAGAGUCCAGGAGAAAC
rnacentral:lncRNA from 1 species